rnacentral:rRNA from 1 species
UACGUAGGGCGCAAGCGUUAUCCGGAAUUAUUGGGCGUAAAGAGCUUGUAGGCGGUUUGUCGCGUCUGCUGUGAAAAUUCGGGGCUCAACCCCGGACUUGCAGUGGGUACGGGCAGACUAGAGGUAUGCAGGGGAGAACGGAAUUCCUGGUGUAGCGGUGAAAUGCGCAGAUAUCAGGAGGAACAUCAGUGGCGAAAGCGGCACCCUGGCAUUAGCCUGACGCUCAUGUGCGAAAGCGUGGGGAGCGAACGGG